rnacentral:rRNA from 1 species
GUCCGCAACGAGCGCAACCCUCAUUGUUAGUUACUACCAUUCAGUUGAGGACUCUAAUGAGACUGCCAACGACAAGUUGGAGGAAGGUGGGGAUGACGUCAAAUCAUCAUGCCCUUUAUGACCUGGGCUACAAACGUACUACAAUGGCCAAUACAAAGAGAUGCGAAGCGGUGACGUGGAGCGAACCUCAGAAAGUUGGUCUCAGUUCAGAUUGAAGUCUGCAACUCGACUUCAUGAAGGCGGAAUCGCUAGUAAUCGCGGGUCAGCAGACCGCGGUGAAUACGUUCCCGGGUUUU